CGUAGGGGGCGAGCGUUGUCCGGAAUCAUUGGGCGUAAAGAGCUCGUAGGCGGCUCGGUAAGUCGGGUGUGAAACCCCCAGGCUCAACCUGGGGACGCCACCCGAUACUGCUGUGGCUAGAGUCCAGUAGGGGAGUGUGGAAUUCCCGGUGUAGCGGUGAAAUGCGCAGAUAUCGGGAGGAACACCAGCGGCGAAGGCGGCACUCUGGGCUGGAACUAACGCUGAGGAGCGAAAGCGUGGGUAGCAAACAGGAUUAGAUACCCUGGUAGUCCACGCCGUAAACGUUGGGCACUAGGUGUGGGGACCCUCCAACGGUUUCCGUGCCGUAGCUAACGCAUUAAGUGCCCCGCCUGGGGAGUACGGCCGCAAGGCUA
rnacentral:rRNA from 1 species